GGGGGUCCUGCCGCGCUGGCACCCGGCUGUCAGCUGCUGCCUCUGCCAGGAACCUGUGGGUUUCGCUGAAUUUAAACACUGCAUUUUAGGACUGAGGGAGAGCUAUUUUAAGGUUGUUCCCUGAGCCAUAAAUUGCCUCCUUUUCCCCAGAACUGGGGAAAGUGCUGGUCCCACCAGCGUGGCCUCCUCUGAGCUGGAAAAAGCCUCACCUGCUGGAACCUUCUGAGGCUCAGCCGACUGGAAUGUGUGGGCGAAAUGUUCGUCUUUUGGGCAAGGUAGAAUGCUGAGUUUCUGACCUGCCUUGACUUUUACUAGUCUUGCUUUUAAGCAGGAUUUUUUUUAGGGAGUGAGGUCCGCAUCUUGUUAGAAAAAGAAAAUGAAAUCCACCAUUUGAGGGCCAUGCAUGGUGGUGCUCUUUUCCAGCGGGGACACCGAGGCUCAGAGAGGUGGCGUGAGGGUGCUAGCCUGGUCUGCCUGCCUCCUGAGGGUCCGCAGCAACCCACCUGUCGCGGGCAUUGAGGGUUUUGAGCCCCUCCCCGCAGGCACUUUGUGUGAGGGAAUCACAUCACAGCCGCUGCCUUUGGGUGGAGGGGCUGCUCCAGAACCCCCACCGCCUACCUCGUGAGCACUGCACUGCCCCGAAUGUCUCUGUUGGGAGGAGGUGCCUCUCCCUGGCAGGUUCCCCCUCAUCUUCCCCCUUCUUGGGGCCCUGGGUGGGUAACCAUGGCCACCAACCAUUGCACAAGUUGUUUUCAGAAAGUGAAAAUAGCUUGUGAGCAGCGCUGGUUUUAAAACACUCUCGCCCCGUUGCGACAGAGGCUGGGAUGUCCUCCCUCCCUCCCUUCGUCCUUCCUCCCUGACAGCAGCCCUGGAAACAGCUGAGAGAGUUUGGUAAUCCACAAAAAGCAGAAACGGGAGAUGACAAUCUGAUUCAUCUUUCUCGAGUAAAUAGCCUGGGUCCACUUCCGUUGGCAGUGAAGGGCGCGUGCGUGCGUGUGUGUGUGUGUGUGUAUGUGGGCGAGAGAGCCUCCUCUAACCUCUCUCUCCGCAGCUUUUGCAAAAACUGUCCCAGAGCGGAGCGGUGGCCCCUUGACCUGUGGAAACACCCCUCUUUGCUCAGAGCUGCACUGGGGUCCAAAGAAAGACUCAUGAGAGAUUUUAAAGAAUUUUUUGUCGGGUCUCCAGCCUUUGCUGUUGAGUUUGAACUGAUGGGUAAAGCCAUUUUUCUUGCUUGCUCAAAAACACCUCCCGGGUUUCCCCCAGAGGCCUCUGACCCAGCAAAAGCCAGCUGGAACGGGCCCGAAGCUGUUGAGUUUCUGUUUCCUGAAAGCGUCCAGUGACGGUGUAGAAAGUGUCCCGCUCCGACACAGCUGUAUGUCAGCGAGAGACAUGGGCCGGAGCUGGCGCCGGCUAACACAGACUCCCCGGUCACCCUUUCUUCCCCGACUGAAACCGACGUCCACUUGCAUCAAAUACCUUCUGGGGGUUUCUCAACCAGGGAGACCCAGUCUGGAAAGGGUUUUGGUUGUCACAACUAGGGAUGCUGUUGGCAUCUUGUGGGUUGGGGCCGGGAUGCUGCAAAAACAUUCUAGAAGGCACAGGGCAGCCCCACCACAGAGAAUGACCCUGCCCCAAACGUCAGCAGUGCUGAGGUGGAGAGACCUGCUCCCGUUCCUAGAAGAUCAUCAUCGAUUUUAUUAGCAGAGGUCUGGCCCAGGCAGCGGCCUUCCACGGCAGAUGCCACCAGAGAAAGGGCGUGUCAGCCCCCGUGCUGGGCCCCUCCCCAGAGCCCUGUGAGAAGACACAGAGCCUGAACACUUUUCCUUCCCGUAAACGAAGUUCUGGCGUCCAUUUUAGAAAAUGUUCAAUGUCAAGAAAGAAAAAAACUUCCCCUGCCUUCUACCACCCAAAUCCCAGUCAAAGGCUUCUGGAGCGAGGGAUUUCUGUGCCGUGGUUUAACUGCUUUCACACGGCUGCAAUUAUCAAUGUUUUAUUUGUAUUCUUUCCAGGCAAGGUCAUAACCAUUUUGCCAUAUUUUUUCCUCCAUGACAUGUUUUUAGUAUCAUUUUAAAUGGCUGCAUAGUAUUCCUUCUUUUUUUUUUGGUGGGAAGAUUAGCCCUGAGUUGACAUCUGAUCCCAAUCAGCCAACCUGGGCCACAGACGUGAGGCAGACAGAACUUUAACCACAUGGCCACAGGGCGGGCCCCAGUGUUCCAUUUAGAUGUGCCAGGAGUUGCUUAUGCAAAUAAGUGCUACACAUGUGUAUACACACACACACACUCACGCUUGGCCAGGUUUCAGGUUUCAGGGGCGGGGGAGUUAAAGAGUUGAAAGGGAUGAAUGUUUUGGGGUGCUUUGGGCAUCACCAAAAUGCUCUCCCCAGAGUGACUCAAGUGAUGGGGGAAGGAGACAGUGGCCGUUUUUCUGCCAGGAGUUUCCUGUGUGUCAGGGAGCGUGGCAUCCUGAGCACGGUGUGGUGUGAAGUGGGAGGGCGGGCUGUCGGAAGGGAAGGUAAGUCCCAGCGUGUGCCUGACUCAGCACCCUGCCCCGUCCGCAGAGCGCAGUUAGCACCCAGGCAGCCCCCAGGCAACAAGCCAGAGAUGCCGGGCUCCGCCGGCUGGCCCCACGCCAAGCUGGUGUGUGCCAGACAGGGCAUCUGGGCCUCAGCACUGUGACAGCCGGGGCCGCAUCGCUCUCUGGUGGGGCUGCCCUGGGCACUGAAGGGCGUGGAGCAGCAUCCCUGGUUGCGCUCACACAAUGCCGGCAGCACCCAUCUCGGUCCGAGCUGUGACAACCCAAAAUGUCUCCAGACAUUGCCAAGCGUCCCCUGGGGGCAGAAUCCCCCAGAUUGAGAACUGCUGGGUUAGCAGCUUCUGUGAACACCGAGGAGACUUUGCAUCCAUAACUAUCUGACCUGAGGGCCUAGGAGGCUGCAGACGUUUAAAUCCGCCUGCGGGCGGGAGAGAGCGGUGACUCACAGACAGAUGCUGGGGGACCACCCUGGUUGUACCAUCUCACCCAUCGGGAAUUUAUUCUGCUGUAUAGUGUGAGCUAGAACCUAAAUCAAAUUUUUUCUAAAUAAUUGAUGCAGGGUUUCUCCCCUUUGGCACUGCUGACACUUGGGGCCGGAUCGCUCUUUGCUGUGGGGCCGUCCCAUGUUCCAUAGGGUGCUCAGCAGCAUCCCUGGCCCCCAGCCACCAGGUGCCAGCAGCAUCCCCAGCCCUGCAGUUGUGAUCCCGAAGGUCUCCAGACGUCGCCCGGGGUCCCCUGGACACAGUGGGAGCCUCUGCUCCCCGGGUCUCCUCGUAGGGAGGGUGCGCCGUGGGACAGGACGGGGCUCAGGGCGGGAGUCUCCCCGAAAGGCUGGGGCGCUGGGAUUUCGUGCCCCCACCCAUCUCUCACUGUGUCUCUGUCUCUCUUUGUCUCUCUCUCAAUUUGUUUCUCCCUUCUCUCCCCCCUUGUCUCUCUCUGUCUCUCUGAUGUCUCUGUCUGUGCCUCUCUCCCCACCCCCUGAUUUGCUCUCCCUCUGUCUCUCUCCCUUCUCUCUGGCUGCCCGUCUUCCCUCACCUCUCUCUCCCCCCAACAGUUAUUCAUUCAGCAGAUGCUCCGAGCCGAGUGCUGGGGAAGCAAAAGUGACUCAGAAGUGACUCAGCCUCGAGCCUUUAGGAGCCGCUGUCAACAAAUGUUUGUUGAAUGACUAACCCAGUGCUAACUUGAACUGAGCUCAGGGCUGGGGGCAGGUGCUUGCAUCCCGGGCCCUUUCCACAGGUUCUCGCUUUCACCCUCCCCCCCAGCCAGGUGGCGAGGAGGGCCACCUCUGCUUUCCAGAGGCGCAAAACGGGCUCACGGAGGGGAAGGCCAGCCCGGAGCCCGCUGCACGGCAGGUGGUGGGGCCACGGCUUGCACCCAGGUGGGCCCAGUCCUGGCGUCACAGUGCCUGGAGACGGCCAUGUGCCCAACCGCAUGGCGAUCACCGCGUGGUCCUCAGCUCGCCCAACAAACUAGACGUGAAGUUAUCACGUGACCCAGCCAUGCCGCUCCUUGGUGUAGACCCCAAAGGGUUAAAAACAAGGACUCAGACAGCCGCUUGUAGGCCAGGCCCAUGGCUGGACUCACAGCCGCCAAAAGGCCAGAACAAGCCAGACGCCCACCAAGAGACCGCAGAAUGUGGUCCAUUGCACAGCGGCCAGUCCUCGGCCCUGAAGACCGGGAUGGAGCUCGAAAAUGUUAUCCUCAGGAAAAGAAGUCAGACACCAAGACCAUACGCUGCCCAGCCGCUGACAGGAGGGGCCUGGCGCAGGCACAGCUUCGGGGACAGACAGCUGCCGGAGGGCGCCAGGGCCCGGCGGGGCGGGGGGCAGGGUUCAAUGGCACAGAGUCUCUGCUCAACGUGAUGCACGGUGUCAGAAACAGGUAGUGAGGAUGGCUGCACGACAGUGUGAAUGGAACUAAUAGCACAGAAUCAAAUGCUUAAAAAUGUCUAAAAUGGUAAAUUGUGUAUUCUGGAUAUUUUACCACAGUUUGAAAAAGAGGCUUGGGAGUCUCCACAGUGAGAGCCAGGGCGGGGGGUUUCUGUGAGUCAGACCCUCACAGGCAUCGGGCCCACUUUGCAGGUGGGAAGAUGGAGGCAAGGCCGUGUCCAUGGGACGGAACCCUCAUCUGCUGGAGAGGAAAGUUCUUCCCCACUGGAUGCUUCUGCCACUGGCCGUCACUGGGUCUCUCUGGGCCUCAGGUUCCCCAUCUGAACACAAGGGCAGUGGACCCGCUGGCUCCUCCACACGGCCCCAUACUGGGGACAAUGUUGUCUCCCCCAUAAUAUCAGAUAGCGUCUGCUCGCAGCUCCCCAUUCAUUCCAGAAUAAACCCAAAGACUUCAUUGUGGCCUGUGGCGCCCACCUCCUCCUGCACCCUUCUCCUCUCACUCCUCUGUGCUCACUAAGCCACACUGGCCUCCUUGCUGUUCACCAAGCAUGCCUUUCAGUCCUGCCCCAGGGCCUUUGCACUUGUUGUUCCCUGAGCCUAGAAUGCUAUUCCCUGCCUUCUUCCCAUAGCCACUGGUAGCAGCCAGGCUGAGCUGUACUGGGGGUGUCUCUGCAGCCUUGAAGCCAGAAACCAGAUCCUUUGGUGAGGGCAAGAGACUGCCAGACAAGGGGCCAGAACCCCAGGUGGCCCUAGGCAGGAAGAGGGUGGAAGAAGCUGGCUUUGGAGUCUCAAAUCCCAGCCGCCUGCUCCCCGCAGGUGAGUGGUGCCCUCACUGACGCUCGGCACAUCAUUCCUACCAGAGGCCACGGUCGGGGAAAGCCCGGCAGAGGCGCCGUCUCCCCAGACUGAGGCGCAGCGGUGUUCCCAGAGUCGUCCGCCGGCGCCAGGACUCCCACUCUGCAGGGUGGGUUCCCCCCAGCUGUGUGGGCCCAGAAGCCCG
ensembl:lncRNA